ensembl:lncRNA
AUGGUCCUGAUUCUACCAAAUGUAAGGCACAAACCUGUAAAGGUUACCCAUUAUUCUAAAUUUGGGUUAAAAAAACAAACAAACAAACAUUUGUUGGUACCGGUACCAAAGACCUCCCAUCCCAAGGACCUCAGCAGCUACAGGCCGGUAGCCCUGACAUCCUAUCUGAUGAAGACCCUCGAGAGGUUGGUUCUAAACCAUCUGCGCCCCCUGGUGAGGUCUUCAUUGGAUCCGCUGCAGUUUGCUUACCAGCCUGGCAUUGGGGUGGAGGACGCCAUCAUCUACCUCCUGCACCGAGCUCUGACUCACCUGGAGAAGCCUGGAAGCACUGUGAGGAUCAUGUUCUUUGAUUUCUCCAGUGCUUUCAACACCAUCCAGCCACGACUUCUGACAGACAAGCUGGAGCUAUCGGGAGUGGACCACCAUAUGUCCCAGUGGAUACUGGACUACCUCACAGAACGUCUACAGUAUGUGAGUUCACAGGGCUGUGUCUCUGACACGCUGGUCUGCAGUACGGGGGCCCCACAGGGAACUGUGCUGGCACCGUUCCUCUUCACCCUCUACACUGCAGACUUCUCCAUCAACUCCCCACGCUGCCACCUACAGAAGUUCUCUGAUGACUCUGCCAUAGUCGGCCUCAUCACAGGUGAGGACGACUCAGAGUACAGACAGUGGACUCUAGACUUUGUUGACUGGUGUCAGCAGAACCACCUGCUGAUCAACGCCGGCAAAACCAAGGAGUUGGUGGUAGACUUCCGGAAACGCAGACCCACCACACUGACACCGGUGAACAUCCAGGGAGUGGGCAUUGAGAUAGUGGACUCUUAUAGGUACCUGGGUGUUCACCUGAAUAAUAAACUGGACUGGAGCCACAACACUGAUGCUCUUUACAGGAAGGGUCAGAGCAGACUCUACCUGCUGAGGCGGCUGAGGUCAUUUGGAGUACAGGGAGCGCUUUUAAAGACCUUCUAUGACUCUGUGGUGGCAUCUGUCAUUUUUUACAGUGUGGUAUGUUGGAGCAGCAGUUUAUCGGCAGCUGAGAGGAAGAGGUUGGAUAAACUCAUUAGGAAGGCCAGCUCUGUUCUGGGAUGCACCCUGGACCCAGUGCAGGUGGUGGGAGACAGAAGGACUCUGGCCAAAAUAACAUCUCUGAUGGACAGAGUCUCCCACCCCAUGCAUGGAAAUGUUGCUGAACUGCAGAGCUCCUUCAGUGACAGACUGCUGCAUCCUAGAUGCAUGAAGGAGCGUUUCCGCAGGUCCUUCCUCCCUGCAGCUGUCAGACUGUACAAUCAGAACUGCUCCCAACAAACAUAG